UACGGGGGGGGGCAAGCGUUGUUCGGAAUUACUGGGCGUAAAGGGCUCGUAGGCGGCCAACUAAGUCGGACGUGAAAUCCCUCAGCUUAACUGGGGAACUGCGUCCGAUACUGGAUGGCUUGGAUUUGGGAGAGGGAUGCGGAAUUCCAGGUGUAGCGGUGAAAUGCGUAGAUAUCUGGAGGAACACCGGUGGCGAAGGCGGCAUCCUGGACCAAUAUUGACGCUGAGGAGCGAAAGCCAGGGGAGCAAACAGGG
rnacentral:rRNA from 1 species